UGGGGAAUUUUGGACAAUGGGGGAAACCCUGAUCCAGCCAUCCCGCGUGUGCGAUGAAGGCCUUCGGGUUGUAAAGCACUUUUGGCAGGAAAGAAACGUCAUGGGUUAAUACCCCGUGAAACUGACGGUACCUGCAGAAUAAGCACCGGCUAACUACGUGCCAGCAGCCGCGGUAAUACGUAGGGUGCAAGCGUUAAUCGGAAUUACUGGGCGUAAAGCGUGCGCAGGCGGUUCGGAAAGAAAGAUGUGAAAUCCCAGAGCUCAACUUUGGAACUGCAUUUUUAACUACCGGGCUAGAGGGUGUCAGAGGGAGGUGGAAUUCCGCGUGGAGCAGUGAAAUGCGUAGAUAUGCGGAGGAACACCGAUGGCGAAGGCAGCCUCCUGGGAUAACACUGACGCUCAUGCACGAAAGCGUGGGGAGCAAACAGG
rnacentral:rRNA from 1 species